AAGUUGGAUUCCGAUGUACCUUGAGUUUUAAGUCUUUACAAGGCCCUGUUCACAAACAGAGGUGGUGUAUGGCGGUUUCGUACAGCAGAACAUCCGAGAACAGAGGUGACGAGGUGUCGAGAGGAGCAGGAGCAGAGCUUCAUGCAGACUAUUAAACAGUGGAUAGCAGCCGUUUCAGGAGUUCAGGAGAAUUUUUUUAGAGAGAGUAUUUGUGAGGGAGAGCUUUCUGUG
rnacentral:lncRNA from 1 species